GCGAGUGAAGCGGGAAAAGCUCAGACUGAAAAUCUUCGGAAUUGUAGUCUGGAGGAGUAUGGUCAGCCGAUGAUGAUGAGUGAAGUCUUCUGGAAAGGAGCGCCUUGGAGGGUGAUAGCCCCGUUCAUACUUAUCAUUAGAAGCGUACGACCUGCUUUCUACGAGUCGUGUUGUUUGGGACUGCAGCACUAAGUGGGUGGUAAAUUCCAUCUAAAGCUAAAUAUUGGUGGGAGACCGAUAGCGAACAAGUACCGUGAGGGAAAGAUGCAAAGAACUUUGAAAAGAGAGUUAAAUAGUACCUGAAAUUGCUGAAAUGGAACCGAUGGGAAGCAGUGUCGGUGGCGGGUAUUUAUACCUGUCACAAGCCAGGCUUCUUUUCUGGUGCGGGAAAGGCUGAUAAACUAGUUUAGGUUAUCUACGCCGUCG
rnacentral:rRNA from 1 species